rnacentral:rRNA from 1 species
UGCCGGACCUGACUGCUAUCGGAUUGAUACUAAGCCAUGCGAGUCUUUGCAGUAAUGCAAGGCAUACGGCUCAGUAACACGUAGUCAACUUACCCUAUGGACGAGGAUAAUCUCGGGAAACUGAGCAUAAUACUCGAUAGAUCAUAAUGCCUGGAAUGGUUUAUGGUUGAAAUGAUUCGUCGCCAUAGGAUGGGACUGCGGCCUAUCAGCUUGUUGGUGAGGUAAUGGCCCACCAAGGCGAUUACAGGUACGGGCUCUGAGAGGAGAAGCCCGGAGAUGGGUACUGAGACAAGGACCCAGGCCCUAUGGGGCGCAGCAGGCGAGAAAACUUUGCAAUGUGCGAAAGCACGACAAGGUUAAUCCGAGUGAUUUCUGCUAAAGAAAUCUUUUGCAAGUCAUAAAACCACUAGUGAAUAAGGGGUGGGCAAGUUCUGGUGUCAGUCGCCGCGGUAAAACCAGCACCUCAAGUGGUCAGGAGGAUUAUUGGGCCUAAAGCAUCCGUAGCCGGCUCUGUAAGUUUUCGGUUAAAUCCAUGUGCUCAACGCAUGGGCUGCCGAAAAUACUGCAUAGCUAGGGAGUGGGAGAGGUAGACGGUACUCAGUAGGAAGGGGUAAAAUCCUUUGAUCUAUUGAUGACCACCUGUGGCGAAGGCGGUCUACCAGAACACGUUCGACGGUGAGGGAUGAAAGCUGGGGGAGCAAACCGGAUUAGAUACCCGGGUAGUCCCAGCUGUAAACGAUGCAGACUCGAUGAUGCAUUGGCAUAUAGCCAGUGCAGUGUCGCAGGGAAGCCGUUAAGUCUGCCGCCUGGGAAGUACGUACGCAAGUAUGAAACUUAAAGGAAUUGGCGGGGGAGCACCAC